AUGGCGUUGGUCUCUGUUUCAGGAGUAUAUUUUUUCGUAAAAGCACGCUUCGAGGAGUUAAAGACUUCAUGCGCCUUCAGUUCAGACAACCCAUGCGUCUUCAAUUCUGUGGCAAGCCUCUUUGCCGUGGAAUACAUGGCGGUAAUGGCUUUGUACAUCCGCUGGCGUUGGUUACGCAACUUGAGCGCCAUGCCGAUAGCCGUCGUCUGCAUCCUCGACAACAGCCCUGCAGCGGUCACGAUCAUAGUCGCCCCGACGUUCUUGUGGGGACAUCUUUUUGGGGAUCCCCAGUUCGCCACCUGCCUCUCGUGUGUAUUGGCGGCGGCGCUCGUCGUCUUCCUCUGGUGGUGCAUCUCCAUAGACAGGAUUCUUUCAAAGAACUCACCACUGCCUCACCUCCAAGAAGAAACAUGCAAAAAUGGAGGCGUGCUCCAUAUUUUCACAUGUGAUUAUUAG
rnacentral:rRNA from 1 species